AUAAAGGAGGGGGAAAUGCAUAGCAGGAAGCUGGUUGGGGCAUCUGUAGGAACUGUUACUAUAUAAGUGAUAACCCAGUCUGCAUGAUCCUGAAACUUUAUACAGGCAAUCACGAGGGUACUAUCAUUGUGUUCAGACAAUGGAAGACUGCUAUCAAAGCAAAAAAUCUGAAGACUCUUAUCCAUGUAGACUUUUAAAACUUCACUUGCUAUUGAAACAGAGUUGGAGGCUUGUUUGCCUAUCUUCUUCCAAAAAAGAUACCAAGACUUAUUCCAAAGCAGUCAAUGGCCUAGUGGUUAAUGUACUCAUCUGUGAGGAAGGAAACCCAGGCCCUGUCCUGAAUCAAGGUGUCUCUCUUCUCUUAAGCAAACUCAUACUGAAAGAUGGAGAGUAGUGAAAUGAAGCAGUUACAUUCAAAUUACCAAAACCAUUGAAUGCCUUGUGAAUUUGGAGACAAAAGAGCAUACUUUCCUUCAGAGCUAAUAAAAAAUGGUAUUUUGCGGAAAAUUAAAAAAACCUUUUGUUUUUGUUUCAUGCAAAAAAUGUUUUCUUUAUACAAAAUAUUUGCUGUUCUUUUAUAUCUUCAGUUUACUGUUUCCAUUUUUAAUAUAUAACCUGGAAAAUCUCAAGUGAGACUUCUUUUUAGCAUGACUUCUUAUUUUAGGAACAGAAUGUCUAUUCUGUAUUUAAAACAAUUUCAGUGGAAGAUUUUUGACCAUAUCUAAUUUCACUCUUUUGAAUAACAGAAAAGUAAAAGUUGCAGAGUAGAAAGGGUAUGUCAGUCACAUAAAUUUCCUGCUGUUGUAAAUUAAGGAUUAAUUAUGAAAAGCACAUAGACUUCAGUUCUGCAACUGACAAAAAUAAUUUUGCUCAACCUCCUUCUAACCCCUAACACUCACCUCACAGAUUUGCAGCCUUUGAAGUAUAACAAGUUGUGCUGGUUGGAAUUUUUUUUUUUAAUAUUAAUAAUAAUCUUUUGGUCUUGACAUUUUUAAAACAAAUAUUUUUUUCAAAAUUUGUCUUCACAAUUUCAAAAUAUUUUUGAAUAUUCAACACAAAAUUUUAGUUCAACAUUUACUUAAAUUUUAAUAUUUAAACAUUUUUCAUACUCUAAAAGCUAUCACAAAUAAAAUGUUUUGUUUUGUAUCAAGCAUUCUGCCUAAAACACAAAAAUGUUCAUAUGCAUGCAGAAGUCACUCUCAAAAAGGUGUAUGCUAGCAAUUUCUGAGGAAUUCUAGCCAGUCAUGACUAGACAUUACAGUAUAUGAUGUACCAGAGUUUGAAACUGUUGACUCUUUAGUAUGUUGUGUCAAAUAAAAAUC